rnacentral:rRNA from 1 species
CCUACGGGUGGCAGCAGUGGGGAAUAUUGCACAAUGGGGGAAACCCUGAUGCAGCGACGCCGCGUGAGCGAUGAAGUAUUUCGGUAUGUUAAGCUCUAUUAGCAGGGAAGAAAAUGACGGUACCUGACUAAGAAGCCCCGGCUAACUACGUGCCAGCAGCCGCGGUAAUACGUAGGGGGCAAGCGUUAUCCGGAUUUACUGGGGGUAAAGGGAGCGUCGACGGUUCUGCAAGCCAGAUGGGAAAGCCGGGGGCUCAACCCCGGGACUGCAUUUGGAACUGGAAGGCUAGAGUGUCGGAGAGGUAGGCGGAAUGCCUGGUGUAGCGGUGAAAUGCGUAGAUAUUAGGAGGAACACCAGUGGCGAAGGCGGCAUGCUGGACGAUGACUGACGUUGAGGCACGAAAGCGUGGGGAGCAAACAGGAUUAGAUACCCCGGUAGUC